rnacentral:rRNA from 1 species
ACACGUAAGGGGCAAGCGUUGUUCGGAAUUAUUGGGCGUAAAGGGCGUGUAGGCGGUUUUGCAAGUCUGGUGUGAAAUACUGCAGCUUAACUGCAGAGACGCGCUGGAAACUGUGAGACUAGAGUACUGGAGGGGGACAUGGAAUUCCUGGUGUAGGGGUGAAAUCUGUAGAUAUCAGGAAGAACACCGGUGGCGAAGGCGAUGUCCUGGCCAAGUACUGACGCUGAGGCGCGAAAGCGUGGGGAGCGAACAGGAUUAGAUACCCUGGUAGUCCACGCCGUAAACGAUGUGCACUAGGUGCCUGGGGGUAGCUCUGGGUGCCGUAGCUAACGCGUUAAGUGCACCGCCUGGGGAGUAUGCUCGCAAGGGUGAA